rnacentral:rRNA from 1 species
GUAGGUGGCAAGCGUUGUCCCGGAAUUAUUGGGCGUUAAAGCGCGCGCAGGCGGGUUCUUUAAGUCUGAUGUGAAAGCCCACGGGCUCAACCGUGGAGGGUCAUUGGAAACUGGAGAACUUGAGUACAGAAGAGGAAAGCGGAAUUCCACGUGUAGCGGUGAAAUGCGUAGAGAUGUGGAGGAACACCAGUGGCGAAGGCGGCUUUCUGGUCUGUAACUGACGCUGAGGCGCGAAAGCGUGGGGAGCAAACAGGAUUAGAUACCCUGGUAGUCCACGCCGUAAACGAUGAGUGCUAAGUGUUAGGGGGUUUCCGCCCCUUAGUGCUGCAGCUAACGCAUUAAGCACUCCGCCUGGGGAGUACGGCCGCAAGGCUG